rnacentral:rRNA from 1 species
GACGAACGCUGGCGGCGUGCUUAACACAUGCAAGUCGAACGAAGAGCGACGGAAGCUUGCUUCUAUCAAUCUUAGUGGCGAACGGGUGAGUAACGCGUAAUCAACCUGCCCUUCAGAGGGGGACAACAGUUGGAAACGACUGCUAAUACCGCAUACGAUCUAAUCUCGGCAUCGAGGAUGGAUGAAAGGUGGCCUCUACAUGUAAGCUAUCACUGAAGGAGGGGAUUGCGUCUGAUUAGCUAGUUGGAGGGGUAACGGCCCACCAAGGCGAUGAUCAGUAGCCGGUCUGAGAGGAUGAACGGCCACAUUGGGACUGAGACACGGCCCAGACUCCUACGGGAGGCAGCAGUGGGGAAUCUUCCGCAAUGGACGAAAGUCUGACGGAGCAACGCCGCGUGAGUGAUGACGGCCUUCGGGUUG